rnacentral:rRNA from 1 species
UACAGAGGGUGCAAGCGUUAAUCGGAAUUACUGGGCGUAAAGCGUGCGUAGACGGUUAUGUAAGUCAGAUGUGAAAGCCCCGGGCUUAACCUGGGAAUGGCAUUGAGACUGCGAUACAGCUAGGGUGCGGAAAGGAGGGAAGGCGGAAGUUUCCGGUGUAGCGGUGAAAUGCGUAGAUAUCGGGAAGGAACACCAGUGGCGAAAGCGGCUUCC